CUCAGGCUUUGGUUUGAAUUACAAAACUUUAUUAGCCAGUGCCAACAAAGCAGUGUUUCGGGUGACAUUGCCAACCACAAAUAAUGUGUUCUCCUUUGAGCUGUAAAACCCGGGAGGCAGCAGCAAACGGAGAGACCUACCCAGCCCGGGAAAAAAACAAACAAAGAGAGACCUUACUGGUGCUGUUUACACAUCUGUGUGGAGGACUAUCUGGGCUUGUGUGUUUUGACAUCGCGCUCAAAUGGCUGCACGGCUCCUGUCUCAGUGAAACGGAAGAUGUAGAGGAGCUGAAUGCUGGAGAGUGAUUGAAGGAGUGAAGCUGAGCCCUGGAUGGAGGGAUCUGCUGGAGGAAAGGAGAGAGAGAGGAUGCGGUCUCUUAAAGCCCCUGCCACCGGUGUCCUUGCCAGCCUCCAUCAAUCGCCCGGCGAUGGGCGGAACAGAGGAAGAGAGGGGCGAUAGAUGAAGUGAAAACUUUUCGAGUGUCGGCGGAACUGGGCCACAGCAUCCGAGCUGGGAGACCUGAGAGAAGAGAUGGGAGAGGGCGGCUCCGCUGACUGGAGGAGUACCAGCUGGUCUCAAACAGGUAGGGAGCCGUGCCAAGUCCCUGUGCCAGCGUCCGUCGUGCCCGCUGACGUUCGUCGUCUGUUGGCUUCCAUCAGGGCCUCUCUCUCUCUCUGAUCUGGAAUGAAGAUGAUUUGAUUAGACCUCUGGUAAAGGCUGGGCAGGCCCUAUACAAAGUCAUUAGGAUGGCCAGGAGUGGACUGGGGUGUUACGGGUGAGUAGUGGGUGACCGCAGCGGACUCACAUUUGCACUGGACUGUUAGUUGUAAUUCGGUUAAAAUGUUGUUGUGUGUCUGUGCAUGUGUGCGUAUGCACCUUUUCAACUUCCCUACUCUCAUCCCUCUGGUAAUUGAAUUGUGGUACAAUAAUGGAUCUAUGAUUUUAUUUUGUCUUAGGUCCAAAUGAGUUUUGGUGUGAACGUACACACACUGGCAGGUGUUUACACAUUACAGGGGCUCAAAGAAAAUCUCCCAAACUCUGUAGAUCACACCUGGCCUAUACACUGUAUGUAGUCUAUAUGCUAUGCAAAGAGGUAUGGAUACAAGUAUAGAAGGACCAAGUCUUUGUAUGGGAGACAAGGAUAUGCUAAUUGGGAAACUGAGAGGGACAGGUAGUAGCAGACAUAAGGGAGUGACAUGAAGGAGUGUGUCUCAGUUGGUAGAACAUGAUGCUUGCAACGCCAGGGUUGUGGGAACAGUAUGAAAAUGUAUGCAAUCACUACUGUAAGUCGCUCUGGAUAAUAGCAUCUGCUAAAUGACUCAGUUGUUAUUUAUUUUUUAUGUAAAAAAAUGAAAGGAAUGGGUAGGCCUUCUUUCUGGCUAGGAGACAAACUGAGAAAGCCCGGUACGCCUACUUGGAGACAAUGCAAGGAGGACAGCUACUGUAGCUGGCUAGGGACCACCUGAAAGAGACAGGUAGCUACUGUGGCUGGCUAGGGACCACCUGAAAGAGACAGGUAGCUACUGUAGCUGGCUAGGGACCACCUGAAAGAGACAGGUAGCUACUGUAGCUGGCUAGGGACCACCUGAAAGAGACAGGUAGCUUCUGUAGCUGGCUAGGGACCACCUGAAAGAGACAGGUAGCUUCUGUAGCAGGCUAGGGACCGCCUAAAAAAGACAGAUAGCUACUGUAGCUGGCUAGGGGACUGAGAGUUACAGUAAUGUAACUGAUGUUAUCCUGUUAAUCACGUCUGCCUGGCCAAACAGCCCUGCGGGUACAGACUAGUGUGUGUAUGGCCCAGCCUUGCCAAGCUGUUCCCACGACCCAGAGGUCAAAGGACAUGCUCAGAGUGGGCGCCAGGCAGAGACCAGCCAGAUAGACGACCUUGCCGUACAUACACACACACAGCCGGCCAAGGCUGGGCCUGCCAAGUCCAACAUGCCGAUGGCCAGACGGUGGGCAUGAAGAGGUCAGCCCUGGCAUGGUGGCCAAACGCUGUCCGAGGAGGGAAGGCUUGGCAGGACUGUGCCCAAACAUCCUCAGGCUGAGGUUAACUGGACUGAGGCAGAACAUAAGUGUGUGUGUGUGUGUGUGUGUGUGUGUGUGUGUGUGUGUGUGUGUGUGUGUGUGUGUGUGUGUGUGUGUGUGUGUGUGUGUGUGUGUGUGUGUGUG